rnacentral:rRNA from 1 species
UUCCGGUUGAUCCUGCCAGAGGCGACCGCUUUUGGAGUUCGAUUAAGCCAUGCGAGUAGAAAGAAAUUAGAUUCUUUGCAAACUGCUCAGUAACACGUGGAUAACCUGCCCUAUGCUCCGGAAUAACCUCGGGAAACUGAGAAUAAUACCGGAUAGAUCACAACGCCUGGAACGGUGUGUGGUUCAAAGGUCACGGCAUAGGAUGGGUCUGCGGCGUAUCAGGUCGUAGGGGGUGUAACGGACCUCCUAGCCAUCGACGCGUACGGGUGUUGGGAGACAUAGCCCGGAGAUGGAUUCUGAGACACGAAUCCAGACCCUACGGGGUGCAGCAGGCGCGAAAACUUCACACUGCAGGAAACUGUGAUGAGGGAACUCCAAGUGCGCGCACUUAGUGUGCGCUUUUCUUGACUAUUAAUCGGUCAUGGAAUAAGGGCUGGGAAAGACCGGUGCCAGCCGCCGCGGUAAUACCGGCAGCUCAAGUGGUCGUCGCUUUUAUUGGGCCUAAAACGUCCGUAGCCUGUUUGGUAAAUCUGUGGGUAAAUCAACCAGCUUAACUGGUUGAAUUCUGCAGAGACUGCCAGACUAGGGACCAGGAGAGGUGUGGGGUACUCUAGGGGUAGGGGUAAAAUCCUGUCAUCCUUAGAGGACCACCAGUUGCGAAGGCGCCACACUGGAACGGAUCCGACGGUCAGGGACGAAGCCUAGGGGCACGAACCGGAUUAGAUACCCGGGUAGUCCUAGGUGUAAACGCUGUGAACUUGGUGU